rnacentral:rRNA from 1 species
CAGUAGCCGCGGUAAUACCGAGGGUGCGAGCGUUAAUCGGAUUUACUGGGCGUAAAGCGUGCGUAGGCGGCUUUUUAAGUCGGAUGUGAAAUCCCUGAGCUUAACUUAGGAAUUGCAUUCGAUACUGGGAAGCUAGAGUAUGGGAGAGGAUGGUAGAAUUCCAGGUGUAGCGGUGAAAUGCGUAGAGAUCUGGAGGAAUACCGAUGGCGAAGGCAGCCAUCUGGCCUAAUACUGACGCUGAGGUACGAAAGCAUGGGGAGCAAACAGGAUUAGAUACCCGUGUAGUCCCUGUCUCUUAUAC